rnacentral:rRNA from 1 species
GACGAACGCUGGCGGCGCGCCUAACACAUGCAAGUCGAACGAGCGAGAGAGAGCUUGCUUUCUCCAGCGAGUGGCGAACGGGUGAGUAACGCGUGAGGAACCUGCCUCAAAGAGGGGGACAACAGUUGGAAACGACUGCUAAUACCGCAUAAGCCCACGACCCGGCAUCGGGUAGAGGGAAAAGGAGCAAUCCGCUUUGAGAUGGCCUCGCGUCCGAUUAGCUAGUUGGUGAGGUAACGGCCCACCAAGGCGACGAUCGGUAGCCGGACUGAGAGGUUGAACGGCCACAUUGGGACUGAGACACGGCCCAGACUCCUACGGGAGGCAGCAGUGGGGAAUAUUGCACAAUGGGGGAAACCCUGAUGCAGCGACGCCGCGUGGAGGAAGAAGGUCUUCGGAUUGUAAACUCCUGUUGUUGAGGAAGAUAAUGACGGUACUCAACAAGGAAGUGACGGCUAACUACGCG